rnacentral:misc_RNA from 1 species
AACGCACAUUGCGCCCGCCAGCAUUCUGGCGGGCAUGCCUGUUCGAGCGUCAUUUCAACCCCUCGGGCCCCUUGGCCGCCCGGUGUUGGGGGACUACUUCAGGUAGCCCCCGAAAGGCAGUGGCGGAGCCGGCCCCGGCCCCGGACGUAGUACGAAACUCCUCGUCCGCGGCAGGUCCGGCGUCCCGCCGUGAAACCCCCUAUCUUCUAUGGUUGACCUCGGAUCAGGUAGGACUACCCGCUGAACUUAA